UACGGAGGAUCCGAGCGUUAUCCGGAUUUAUUGGGUUUAAAGGGUGCGCAGGCGGGAGAUUAAGUCGGCGGUGAAAUUUUGCAGCUCAACUGUAAAAGUGCCUUCGAAACUGGUUUCCUUGAGUGUAGAUGAAGUAGGCGGAAUUUGUGGUGUAGCGGUGAAAUGCAUAGAUAUCACGAGGAACUCCGAUUGCGCAGGCAGCUUACUAAACUACUACUGAUGCUCAGGCACGAAGGCGUGGGGAUCAAACAGGAUUAGAUACCCGCGUA
rnacentral:rRNA from 1 species